AUACCAGAAGGGUUCGCUGGUGUCUCACUCAUUAAAGUUGUGUCUGGCUUGAGGCCGCGUGUCUCGGAAGGAGUACGCCUUUGUCAUGCGUGGGAAUUGCUGGUUUUAAGUGGGAGACACCGCCCUUUCACACUGGUGCCGACUUGGGAUGUGGAAAACACCGAAGGUGACGUGCGACUCACGCUCUUCGACGUACGCCGGCGGUGUCCAGUCGGCAUACCGGAGGAGUACGGCGGCGGCGGCGGCGGCAGCAGCAGCAGCAGCAGAUAUUUUACUGACGACGCUGUUCCCUGUACGGGCGAUUCAUACUGGCCUGUUUCCACCCUUUUCCCCAUGCGCCUGGGUUAGGCAUUGCUAUCCUCAACUGUGAAUUAUGUUAUGUGUGUUUGAGGACAUUAUUGGCGAAUGGGACCAAGUGAGCUGCUUGCUUACUGCCGGAUAAAAGUGCUAAUCGGUUGUCUCUACCAGCAGGUAAACUAAAACACACAUUUCAUAUGGCAGCAGUACUGUAAUUAGCUCCCAGAUAAUAAAUUGGCCAUGGUGUAAACCUGCAGCCACAACAAGAACAGGCCUGGGGAUCCCUUGUCUAUAUUAUGACCAGAGACGACCAUAAAGAGCUGGACUGGACGGAACUGGAGUGUUCAAAUUCAUUGGCUGUCCCUUCAAAUAAAUCAGAAUCACUCUUU